rnacentral:lncRNA from 1 species
ACGAUCUUCACAGGUAUCACUUUUCACGAUACCUAAAAGGUGGAAUAGCGAUUUUAGAACCAUUUCCUAUAAGAGAAUGGUUUCCAUUACAUGGCAUAAUUCUACUCGAAAGAAAAUUCAAGAGGUACAUAUAAUUGCAUCUCGCCAAGGAACAUCAAAUAAAUAAAUUAAAAUUGUCUUACAUGUAGAUAUAGUAAUAAACUGUAGAAAACAUGGCAUUGGUCUAGUGACCAUUUAUUUAAAAUGAAAUUUCAAUAGAGUAAAACAGAUCUAAGAUUUAUUCUUCACGCCGAUGGAAGAUAUGCGCCGACCGGCAAGGUUCAUAUUCUUUGCUAAUUGGUCUAGUCGGACAGCUCUUGGUUUGCACCAUCUUGCCUCCCACGACCACGAGCAGCUGCACCGGACACAAAAAUGAAGCAAAGAAUAGUGUUAAGCAUGUGUCGCACUUGCAUUUGAGCAAAUGAUACACGACGGAUGAAGUACGCGGUGGUUACCUGCGAGGAUGUCUGCGCGGGCUCUGGUCAUAAUUUCUCUAAUUCUAACCAUCCUAGUCAGGCGCCACGCCAUGGGAUCGUUUGUCAUUGCCGCGGUCGCUCGGUCGCCACCUCGUGUCGUGCUUGCAAACAUACCCGUAGGAUGUCUGCGCAACACCGAUUCGGGGCUUCCAAGAGGUGUUGCACAGAUCGUAUGUUGCACGGAUCCGGUGCCCGCAAGAAGCGCAUGCCCAUGGAGGAGACCGCCGUUUAAGCCCGUUAGCUCAUCACUGCGACCAAUCGGCUCUCUUCGCUGCACAAAUCUAUUGCCCGCUUCUUGUGUAAGUGCACCACGGUGAGUGGAGCGAACGCUGUUGAGCAGCCCGACACUCUGUGCUCGGCUUGAUCCCGACGCUCCUAGCACCGACAAAGUGGUAAGAGGAUUGGAAACCGCCAAGAUUGGGCCACUAGGGACACCAU